UCUGGCGGCAGUAGCGCGGUGGUCCCACCUGACCCCAUGCCGAACUCAGAAGUGAAACGCCGUAGCGCCGAUGGUAGUGUGGGGUCUCCCCAUGC
rnacentral:rRNA from 2 species